rnacentral:rRNA from 1 species
ACCCUGAUCCAGCAUACCGCGUGUGUGAAGAAGGCCUGAGGGUUGUAAAGCACUUUCAAUUGUGAAGAAAAGUUAACGGUUAAUAACCGUUAGCCUUGACGUUAACUUUAGAAGAAGCACCGGCUAACUCCGUGCCAGCAGCCGCGGUAAUACGGAGGGUGCAAGCGUUAAUCGGAAUUACUGGGCGUAAAGCGUGCGUAGGCGGUUUAUUAAGUCAGAUGUGAAAGCCCCGGGCUUAACCUGGGAACUGCAUUUGAAACUGGUCAACUAGAGUAUGGUAGAGGAAAGUGGAAUUUCUGGUGUAGCGGUGAAAUGCGUAGAUAUCGGAAGGAACAUCAAUGGCGAAGGCAGCUUUCUGGACCAAUACUGACGCUGAGGUACGAAAGCGUGGGUAGCAAACAGGAUUAGAUACCCUGGUAGUCCACGCCGUAAACGAUGAUAACUAGCCGUUGGGGGGAUUUACCCCUUAGUGGCGAAGCUAACGCGUUAAGUUAUCCGCCUGGGGAGUACGGCCGCAAGGUUAAAACUCAAAUGAAUU